GAUGAACGCUGGCGGCGUGCCUAAUACAUGCACGUCGAGCGAACAGACGAGGAGCUUGCUCCUCUGACGUUAGCGGCGGACGGGUGAGUAACACGUGGAUAACCUACCUAUAAGACUGGGAUAACUUCGGGAAACCGGAGCUAAUACCGGAUAAUAUAUUGAACCGCAUGGUUCAAUAGUGAAAGACGGUUUUGCUGUCACUUAUAGAUGGAUCCGCGCCGCAUUAGCUAGUUGGUAAGGUAACGGCUUACCAAGGCAACGAUGCGUAGCCGACCUGAGAGGGUGAUCGGCCACACUGGAACUGAGACACGGUCCAGACUCCUACGGGAGGCAGCAGUAGGGAAUCUUCCGCAAUGGGCGAAAGCCUGACGGAGCAACGCCGCGUGAGUGAUGAAGGUCUUCGGAUCGUAAAACUCUGUUAUUAGGGAAGAACAAAUGUGUAAGUAACUAUGCACGUCUUGACGGUACCUAAUCAGAAAGCCACGGCUAACUACGU
rnacentral:rRNA from 1 species